rnacentral:rRNA from 1 species
CCUACGGGAGGCAGCAGUGAGGAAUAUUGGUCAAUGGACGAGAGUCUGAACCAGCCAAGUAGCGUGAAGGAUUACUGCCCUAUGGGUUGUAAACUUCUUUUAUAUGGGAAUAAAAUGUUCCACGUGUGGGAUUUUGUAUGUACCAUAUGAAUAAGGAUCGGCUAACUCCGUGCCAGCAGCCGCGGUAAUACGGAGGAUCCGAGCGUUAUCCGGAUUUAUUGGGUUUAAAGGGAGCGUAGGUGGAUUGUUAAGUCCGUUGUGAAAGUUUGCGGAUCAACCGUAAAAUUGCAGUUGAAACUGGCAGUCUUGAGUACAGUAGAGGUGGGCGGAAUUCGUGGUGUAGCGGUGAAAUGCUUAGAUAUCACGAAGAACUCCGAUUGCGAAGGAAGUUCACUGGACUGCAACUGACACUGAGGCUCGAAAGUGUGGGUAUCAAACAGGAUUAGAUACCCCAGUAGUC